AGUUAUGGCAGCCGUGCGCGUGCAGACUUCGGUCUGGCCGGUGCCUCGGACACUGGUCUUCUCACCUCGCGUACGGCUGCCACCUUA
rnacentral:antisense_RNA from 1 species